rnacentral:rRNA from 1 species
AGAACGAACGCUGGCGGCAUGCCUAAUACAUGCAAGUCGAACGAACUCUUCGGAGUUAGUGGCGCACGGGUGCGUAACGCGUGGGAAUCUGCCCCUUGGUUCGGAAUAACAGUUGGAAACGACUGCUAAUACCGGAUGAUGACGAAAGUCCAAAGAUUUAUCGCCAAGGGAUGAGCCCGCGUAGGAUUAGCUAGUUGGUGAGGUAAAGGCUCACCAAGGCAACGAUCCUUAGCUGGUCUGAGAGGAUGAUCAGCCACACUGGGACUGAGACACGGCCCAGACUCCUACGGGAGGCAGCAGUAGGGAAUAUUGGACAAUGGGCGAAAGCCUGAUCCAGCAAUGCCGCGUGAGUGAUGAAGGCCUUAGGUUGUAAAGCUCUUUUACCCGAGAUGAUAAUGACAGUAUCGGAGAAUAAGCCCCGGCUAACUCCGCGCCAGCAGCCGAC